CGUGGAGCUGUGCAGGGAUGAAUUGUCAGUUGGUCCUGUUUUGACUGUGGAGACGCAAUGUUAUGAAAAAAAUGAGAGAAUAAUUGUCAAAAUAAUAGCAGAAUUCCUUCAAGCUUGAAAGUGAGUGCUCUAAGCUUGAGACCCAUUCUGGAGAAAUUUCCUCUAUGCGGUAUAAUUAAUUUUGCUUUUUUAAUUGAGUUUGUACUUAAGGUUGGGGUUUUUUUGUUAUGCUAAUGACAGACAUGCUGCUGCAUUAUUCCUGUCUUGUUUUGUCAUAGGAGGAUUUCCUUCUCAAAUCACUCAUGGGUUAGUAAUGAGUCGUCACAGAAGAAAAACUCCAGUACGCAGUUCUGAUAACUUAUACAAGAAGUCUGAAAACAGACUCAUGAGAAUCGUAAGAGAUGCAGAGUCAUGGAAAAUCUAAACAAGAAUCUCACGUUGCAGACUGACAUGCUCAGGCAUGAACUCCAGGCCAAGGCUCAAGAAUCAAGAGUCGUGAAUGUGGUGUUAUUGCUGCAUCUGCUUCAUCUGCCCCUUUUAUCUGAUGUGGACCUCAAAGGACAAAGACCAGGUUUCAGAAGCAUGAAAAUUUCCUUGUGAUUAUUUCAUAAAAUAGCAUGAAAACCAGAGACAGAGGGGAGUAAUUUGCUGAUGCCCUGCUAUCCUGUG
rnacentral:lncRNA from 1 species